CCCCCCCCCCCAGUAUGCACUUGCUCUCUUGCUUCGGAGCACAGUGUGCACAUUAUUCUCUCCAACCAUUUUACUACUCACCUAUCUGAUAACUGGGGCUAGCAGGAUUAUUACCUCCACCACCAAAGGCGAAGGAGGUUAUGUUUUCACCCCUUUCUGUCUGUUUGUUUGUGUACAGGAUAUCUCAAAAAGUUGUGGACGGAUCUGGAUGAAAUUUUCUGGACAGGUUGGUCUUGGGGUCUAUUUGGCUGCCAUCUUGGAUUUUGAAAUGCCCAAUUAUUGAAAAACAGAAAUUUUUAUAACAUUUGAACUAAACAUCCGAGAAAUACAAUUGAAACAUCUAUUCCAUACAAUUUUGACAUGACAAAUUUAUUUACAAUAUCAUUUUUAAUAUGGGGGGGGGGGGGGGGGGGGGGGGGGGGGGGGGGGGGGGGGGGGGGGGGAAAAAACAUGCCAAAGGAAUCAUAUAUGCCUUAUGUUGGGUCCAUGGUAGUUAAUUGCCACAUAUAAACUGAGCUUGGCUUCUUCAACCCUGUCAAGAAGCUGAAACUUCACACAAUGGAGGCCAGCAAUGAAAAGGCACCACUAACAUCCUCCCAGGGAAAGGUGAGAAAAUGUCUGAAAAGCACUACGAGAGUGUGCUUAUCUUAACUUCUGACUGUUGUUAAUAUUUUUCUUUAUGUUUCAGUUAAUCCAGUAACAGGAGCAGGGAGAUCUGGCCUUCCAGCUGCUGAUUAAGUCUCAACUUAUGAAUGAGCCCAUCAACCUCUCUGAGCUCAUGAAGUUCUCUCUCACACCUGUUCCUCACAGCCUUGGCACCCCUAAUGGAUUUUUUUUGCAAAGACAAAUAAGGCCACCAUGUUCCACUAUCUCCUGAGUGACCAUUCAGAUGAAGUGCAUUAUCCUCAAAAUGCACUCUACAUCCAGAAUGGGAAUGCCCUUAUCCAUGGCCUAAAGGACUUGCCAUCUAGCUUUGGUGCAAUCUGUCUGAAAGUACUUGAUAAGGUGGUUUCAAAGAAACAUGGCUUUGUAUUCUCAACUGAUUCGUAUUUCAAAGACUCCAUCAAAGCACAGGAGAGGAGACGCCGUGGUAUGUUACAGAAGCUGCACAUUGAUGGACCAGCCACAAGAAGACACCCAUAUAUGAACACAUUUCUCCAGAAUGAUGAGAACAAAAGACAAUUGUGUGAUCUUCUUCUGAAGGUCUGGAGUAGCAGAGAUGCAGCUUCAAGACUGGAGGGAUGUUUGACUGCUGUGCUCAUUGUGCAGGGCAAGACCUAUGAGCUGACAGGUCAAGAUGGCAAGGUUGAAGCAUCAGAGAUCCACAGCCUGAUGUCAAAUCAGGAGACAGACACUCAUGUGAUCCUCUAUCUCAACUAUGCUGUAGAGCUUGGUUAUAAGAGUGCUGUUGUCUGCACACCUGACACAGACAUCUUCUUCUUACUUCUGCACUAUGCUUUGGAUGUGAAGCUCAAGAUUUACCUUCAGACAGGUGUUGGGAAACAGACGCAUUGUGGAUGUCACUUCUGUUGCUCGCACACUUUGAUGUGACCACUGUACAGCACUUAUGGGUCUCUAAUGUUUUACUGGAGAACAUUGUACCAUUGCCUUCAAAGGCAAAGGCUAGAUUGGUCCACUGAAGAAACUCCAGAAGUACCCAAGGUUCCAAGCAGCAUUCAAGCAGGUGGGCGUAUAUUGGAGGGUGAAAGACAAGCUGUAUGACUGUCUGGAAGAGUUUGUCUGCCUGAUGUAUGGCUAUCCUCGUAUCUCUCGUGUGGAUGAAGUGCAUACACUGAUGCUGCAGAAGAUGGUGGGUGCAGAGGAAACACUGACAUUCAAGUCAAAGGUUCAACUUUCUCAUCUUCCUCCAUGCAGAGACUCCCUAAUUCCUCAUGUUGACAGGGUCAACUACAGGGUUGGUCAGUGGAAGCAUGCCUAUGUGCCCAUGUAUGAACAUCCCAAACCAGAGGAAUGAUCAUGGCUGGAUGAAGAUGGAUGGAUUCCUGGAACCUGUGUGGUCACAUGGUCCAAUUCUCCCCCCUUCCCUAGUGGACCUCUUGGACACCCCUGAGGAGGAGCAGGAAGAGAAUGAUGAGGAAGCUGGUGUCUAUGACUAUGAGGAACUGUUCGAUUACCUUGAUGAUGAUGACUAAUUUUUGUAUAUAUUAUGCUGAAAUAGGACAUUUUUCUAUUUUCUCAUUAGAGAUGUCAUAUAAUGUUAAAAAUGAUUAUUUGGUUUAACUUCCUGUGGCAUAAUUGUGCAGAAUAAAUAAAUGCU
rnacentral:lncRNA from 1 species